GUGGUGUUGAUACUACAGUUGAGAGAACAGUAUGGUUUACUAAAAAGAAUAAUGCUGAACCUGUAGAUCUGACAACAGACUCAGAGUAUUCAGGUCGUGUGCAGUAUCACUCUGAAAACAAGGUCUGUACUCUGAGAAUCUCAGACCUGAGAGAGAGAGACUCAGCUGAGUACUAUUUCUGGUUCAUAACAAACCAAGGUGGGAACUAUGUUGGUUAUCCUGGAAUCACUUUGUCUGUCACAGUCACAUAUUCAGGUCUCCAGGUGCAGGUGAGCAGAUUACACCAGUCCUCUAACCAGGCAGAGCUGAAGUGUCAGAGCAGUUGUCCUCUACCUGGUCAUCCUUCCUACAUCUGGUACAAGAAUGGACAGAACAUUCAGGGACAAACAUCUAAUUCUUAUUCAGCCUCCUUGGAUCCUGCAGACAGAUUUUCCUGUGCUGUAAGAGGACAUGAGGACUCCCCCUCUCCUUCAGUGUUGAUACAGGGUCAGUAUGGCUUGGGAGUGACUUACACCUCUGCUCAGAUCUGUGCUGUUAAAGGAUCAACAGUGGACAUACCCUGCAGCUACA